rnacentral:rRNA from 1 species
AUGAACGCUGGCGGCGUGCUUCACACAUGCAAGUCGAACGGGAAACCUUUUAUUGAAGCUUCGGCAGAUUUAGCUGGUUUCUAGUGGCGGACGGGUGAGUAACGCGUGGGUAACCUGCCUUAUACAGGGGGAUAACAACCAGAAAUGGUUGCUAAUACCGCAUAAGCGCACAGGACCGCAUGGUCCGGUGUGAAAAACUCCGGUGGUAUAAGAUGGACCCGCGUUGGAUUAGCUAGUUGGCAGGGUAACGGCCUACCAAGGCGACGAUCUAUAGCCGGCCUGAGAGGGUGAACGGCCACAUUGGGACUGAGACACGGCCCAGACUCCUACGGGAGGCAGCAGUGGGGAAUAUUGCACAAUGGGGGAAACCCUGAUGCAGCGACGCCGCGUGAAGGAAGAAGUAUCUCGGUAUGUAAACUUCUAUCAGCAGGGAAGAUAGUGACGGUACCUGACGAAGAAGCCCCGGCUAACUACGUG